AACGAACGCUGGCGGCAUGCCUAACACAUGCAAGUCGAACGAAGUUCCCAAUUCUUCGGAUGCGGGUGCUUAGUGGCGCACGGGUGCGUAACGCGUGGGAAUCUGCCCUUGGGUUCGGAAUAACAGUUAGAAAUGACUGCUAAUACCGGAUGAAGUCUUCGGACCAAAGAUUUAUCGCCCAGGGAUGAGCCCGCGUAGGAUUAGGUAGUUGGUGGGGUAAAGGCCUACCAAGCCGACGAUCCUUAGCUGGUCUGAGAGGAUGAUCAGCCACACUGGGACUGAGACACGGCCCAGACUCCUACGGGAGGCAGCAGUGGGGAAUAUUGGACAAUGGGGGAAACCCUGAUCCAGCAAUGCCGCGUGAGUGAUGAAGGCCUUAGGGUCG
rnacentral:rRNA from 1 species